AUUGAACGCUGGCGGCAGGCCUAACACAUGCAAGUCGAGCGGAUGAACGGAGCUUUUGCCUGGAUUCCGCGGCGGACGGGUGAGUAAUGCCCAGGAAUCUGCCUGGUAUUGGGGGAUAACGUCCGGAAACGGGCGCUAAUACCGCAUACGUCCUGAUGGAGAAAGUGGGGGAUCUUUGGACCUCACGCUAUCAGAUGAGCCUAGGUCGGAUUUGCUAGUUGGUGGGGUAAAGGCCUACCAAGGCGACGAUCCGUAACUGGUCUGAGUGGAUGAUCAGUCACACUGGAACUGAGACACGGUCAAGACUCCUACGGGAGGCAGCAGUAGGGAAUGUUGGGCAAUGGGCGAAAGCAUGAUCCAGCCAUGCCGCGUGUGUGAUGAAGGUCUUCGGAUUGUAAAGCACUUUUAGUUGGGAGGAAGAGCAGUAGGAUAAUACCUUGCUGUUUUGACGUUACCAACAGAAUAAGCACCGGCUAACUUCGUG
rnacentral:rRNA from 1 species